UGAGGAAUAUUGGGCAGUGCCCGCAAGGGUGACCCAGCAACGCCGCGUGGAGGAUGAAUGUCGUAAGAUUGUAAACUCCUGUUAGAGGGGAAGAAUAGUACCGGUUGGACCGGUAUAUGACUGUACCCUCAGAGAAAGCCCCGGCUAACUACGUGCCAGCAGCCGCGGUAAUACGUAGGGGGCAAGCGUUGUCCGGAUUUACUGGGUGUAAAGGGCGCGCAGGCGGGAUAAAAAGUCAGUGGUGAAAUCCUACAGCUUAACUGUAGAACUGCCUUUGAUACUUUUAUUCUUGAGUUCGGGAGAGAGAGACGGAAUUCCAGGUGUAGUGGCGAAAUACGUAGAUAUCUGGAAGAACACCAGUUGCGAAGGCGGUCUCUUGGUCCGACACUGACGCUGAGGCGCGAAAGCGUGGGGAGCAAACA
rnacentral:rRNA from 1 species